UACGUAGGGGGCAAGCGUUGUCCGGAUUUAUUGGGCGUAAAGAGCGUGUAGGCGGCUGGGUAGGUCCGUUGUGAAAACUCGAGGCUCAACCUCGAGACGCCGAUGGAAACCAUCCAGCUAGAGUCCGGAAGAGGAGAGUGGAAUUCCUGGUGUAGCGGUGAAAUGCGUAGAUAUCGGGAGGAACACCUGUGGCGAAGGCGGCCACCUGGUUGGAUACUGACGCUGAGACGCGAAAGCGUGGGGAGCAAACAGG
rnacentral:rRNA from 1 species